AACGUAGGACACGAGCGUUAUCCGGAGUUACUGGGCGUAAAGGGCGGGCAGGCGGUGGCAUAAGUCUGGUGUGAAAGCUCCCGGCUCAACCGGGAGAGGACACUGGCGACUGUUGCACUAGAGGUAGAUAGAGGGGUGUAGAUUUCCGGGUGUAGUGGUGAAAUGCGUAGAGAUCCGGAUGAAUUCCAGAAGCGAAGGCGGCGCCCUGGGUGUGUCCCGACGCUGAGACGCUAUAGCAUGGGGAUCGAACGUG
rnacentral:rRNA from 1 species